GGAUUGCCCCUAGUAACUGCGAGUGAAGCGGGAAAAGCUCAAAUUUAUAAUCUGAUAGUCUUUGGCUGUGCCGAGUGGUAGUCUGGAGAAGCGUUUUCUGUGCUGGACCGUGUAUAAGUGCCUUGGAAUAGGGCGUCAUAGAGGGUGAGAAUCCCGUCUUUGACACGGACUACCAGUGCUUUGUGAUGCGCUCUCAAAGAGUCGAGUUGUUUGGGAAUGCAGCUCAACAUGGGUGGUAAAUUCCAUCUAAAGCUAAAUAUUGGCGAGAGACCGAUAGCGAACAAGUACCGUGAGGGAAAGAUGAAAAGCACUUUGGAAAGAGAGUUAAACAGUACGUGAAAUUGCUGAAAGGGAAACGCUUGAAGUCAGUCGCGUUGUGCAGAACUCAGCCUGGCUUUUGCUUGGUGUAUUUUCUGUAUAACGGGCCAGCAUCAAUUUUGGCCGCUGGAAAAAGGCUUUAGAAAUGUGGCACCUUCGGGUGUGUUAUAGUCUAGAGUCAUAUACAGCGGCUGGGAUUGAGGUCUGCAGCACGCCUUUAUGGCUGGGGUUCGCCCACAUUCGUGCUUAGGAUGCUGGCGUAAUGGCUUUAAACGACCCGUCUUGAAACACGGACCAAGGAGUCUAACAUGCAUGCGAGUGUUUGGGUGGAAAACCCGAGCGCGUAAUGAAAGUGAAUAGUUGAGAUGCCCUGUCGUGGGGAGCAUCGACGCCCGGACCAGACUUUUUGUGACGGAUCUGCGGUAGAGCAUGUAUGUUGGGACCCGAAAGAUGGUGAACUAAUGCCUGAAUAGGGUGAAGCCAGAGGAAACUCUGGUGGAGGCUCGUAGCGAUUCUGACGUGCAAAUCGAUCGUCAAAUUUGGGUAUAGGGGCGAAAGACUAAUCGAACCAU
rnacentral:rRNA from 1 species